AAAACAUCUUCUCUUGUUAUUUUUAAGAGAUUUGUCCUGCCCAAUGACUUAUUAAAUGGCCGCAGUAUUUUGACUGUGCAAAGGUAGCAUAAUCAUUAGUCUAUUAAUUGUUGACUUGUAUGAAUGGUUUAACGAGAUAUUAACUGUCUCAUCUUUAUUUUUAUAACUUAAGUUUUGGGUUAAAAUGCUCAAAUUAUUUUAUGGGACGAUAAGACCCUAUAGAUCUUUAUUGUGUUAGGUGUAGUAUUGUUUGGCUUGUUUUAUUUAUUAUUCUUAUUAUAUUUUUGUUGGGGUGACAUUAGGGUAAAUUUAACUCCUUUUUGUUGUUAACAUUUAUAUAUGAUUAUUUGAACUUUAUUCUUGUUUAUAAGAUAAAGAUACCUUAGGGAUAACAGCGUAAUUUUUAUUGAGAGUUCAUAUCGACAUAAAGGAUUGCGACCUCGAUGUUGGAUUAAGGUGAUUUUUAGGUGUAGGUGCUUAAUAAAUAGGUCUGUUCGACCUUUAAAAUCUUACAUGAUCUGAG
rnacentral:rRNA from 1 species